AUUGAACGCUGGCGGCAGGCCUAACACAUGCAAGUCGAACGCGUGGCGGACGGGUGGGUAAUGUCUGGGAAACUGCCCGGUGGAGGGGAUAACAACUGGAAACGGUAGCUAAUACCGCAUACACUCGGAUGUGCCAAGAUGGGAUUAGCUAGAAGGUGGGGUAACGGCUCACCUAGGCGACGAUCCCUAGCUGGUCUGAGAGGAUGACCAGCCACACUGGAACUGAGACACGGUCCAGACUCCUACGGGAGGCAGCAGUGGGGAAUAUUGCACAAUGGGCGCAAGCCUGAUGCAGCCAUGCCGCGUGUAUGAAGAAGGCCUUCGGGUUGUAAAGUACUUUCAGCGAGGAGGCGUUACUCGCAGAAGAAGCACCGGCUAACUCCGUGCUAGCAGCCGCGGUAAUAC
rnacentral:rRNA from 1 species